UACAGAGGGCUCAAGCGUUGUUCGGAUUCAUUGGGCGUAAAGGGUGCGUAGGCGGCGCGGUAAGUCGGGUGUGAAAUCUUGGAGCUUAACUCCGAAACUGCAUUCGAUACUGCCGUGCUUGAGGACUGGAGAGGAGACUGGAAUUUACGGUGUAGCGGUGAAAUGCGUAGAUAUCGUAAGGAAGACCAGUGGCGAAGGCGGGUCUCUGGACAGUUCCUGACGCUGAGGCACGAAGGUCAGGGGAGCAAACGGG
rnacentral:rRNA from 1 species